rnacentral:rRNA from 1 species
UACGUAGGGGGCAAGCGUUGUCCGGAUUUAUUGGGCGUAAAGAGCGUGUAGGCGGCCAGGUAGGUCCGCUGUGAAAACUCGAGGCUUAACCUCGAGAUGUCGGUGGAAACUAUCUGGCUAGAGUCCGGAAGAGGAGAAUGGAAUUCCUGGUGUAGCGGUGAAAUGCGCAGAUAUCAGGAAGAACACCCGUGGCGAAGGCGGUUCUCUGGGACGGUACUGACGCUGAGACGCGAAAGCGUGGGGAGCGAACAGG